rnacentral:tRNA from 1 species
CAAAACAAAGCUUUAAAGUAAGCAUUUCAUUUACACUGAAAAGAUGUUCGUGCAAUUCGAAUUGUUUUGA